GAAGCAGAUAAGCAUUUAGUUGUGGAGAAGAAAAAGCAAAGAGGAUUGACAUCAUAAUGGAGACAAAGAAAAGUACAAAGAGGUAGAAUAUUAAAUCCAAAAACAUCAACAACAAUAAUUUAUUAUAUGGGGAUAACCUAAUCUGAUAGUGUUUGAACUUUUGAAAACCAAUCAACAACGGCUAAGUUCGUCAGGCUUGCAACUUCACCUUCUCCUAUAUAAACAUAGAUAGAUAUACAUAUAAGUAGGAGGAUUCAAGAUCAAGAUUGAGAGUGUAGUUAGAUAGAAAGAGAGAGAGAUGGCUAUGUGGGAUUGGGAAAAGAUGAUUCAGGUAAAAGGGGAGGCUUGUUGUGGAUCUUCCGCUGUUGGGUGCAAUAACAAGCGCUUCAUCUGAUACUCCUUCCGUCAACAGCAGCACACCAAAUCAGUUCAGAAGAUUCUUGCUUGUCAAUGGACUCGGUCGUACACAUUCUACGUGAGCUUUUGACUCUAAUAGCAGCGGCAAAACAUCCUAGGUGAUCAAAGAGAAGAAGCCCAGAAGACAGAGGACAAGAUUGGAAUAAUUUAUGGGGAAAUUGUGGAUCUCAUGUAACAUUUCUCCAAUUAAGCUUUUCUUCUUUAUUUCCUCUUUACUUUAAUGUUUGUUGCUGAUAUUUGUUGUCAUUACAACCAUGUGCGGCCAAACUUCUGUAGACCUUACAGAUUUAUGAACCUUUAUGCAUGAUUCGUCGUUAA